rnacentral:rRNA from 1 species
GACGAACGCUGGCGGCGUGCUUAACACAUGCAAGUCGAACGAUGAAGCCGGAGCUUGCUCUGGUGAAUUAGUGGCGAACGGGUGAGUAACACGUGAGUAACCUGCCCUUGACUCUGGGAUAACUGCGGAAAACUGUAGCUAAUACCGGAUACGACCCUCGGAGGCAUCUCCUGGGGGUGGAAAGAAUUUCGGUCAAGGAUGGACUCGCGGCCUAUCAGCUAGUUGGUGAGGUAAAGGCUCACCGAGGCGACGACGGGUAGCCGGCCUGAGAGGGUGACCGGCCACACUGGGACUGAGACACGGCCCAGACUCCUACGGGAGGCAGCAGUGGGGAAUAUUGCACAAUGGGCGCAAGCCUGAUGCAGCAACGCCGCGUGAGGGAUGACGGCCUUCGGGUUGUAAACCUCUUUUAGCAGGGAAGAAGCGAAAGUGACGGUACCUGCAGAAAAAGCACCGGCUAACUACGUGCCAGCAGCCGCGGUAA